rnacentral:rRNA from 1 species
UACGGAGGUGGCAAGCGUUGUUCGGAAUUACUGGGCGUAAAGGGCGCGUAGGCGGCCCGUCAAGUCCCGUGUGAAAGCCCCCGGCUCAACCGGGGAACUGCACGGGAAACUAGCAGGCUUGAGUUCGGGAGAGGGAAGCGGAAUUUCGGGUGUAGCGGUGAAAUGCGCAGAUAUCCGAAGGAACACCGGUGGCGAAGGCGGGUUCCUGGACCGACACUGACGCUGAGGCGCGAAAGCUAGGGGAGCAAACGGG